rnacentral:rRNA from 1 species
CCUACGGGAUGCAGCAGUGGGGAAUAUUGGGCAAUGGGGGCAACCCUGACCCAGCAACGCCGCGUGAGUGAAGAAGGAUUUCGGUUUGUAAAGCUCUAUCAUCAGGGAAGAAAGAAAUUACGGUACCUGACUAAUAAGCCCCGGCUAACUACGUGCCAGCAGCCGCGGUAAUACGUAGGUGGCAAGCGUUAUCCGGAUUUACUGGGUGUAAAGGGAGCGUAGACGGCGAUGCAAGUCAGAAGUGAAAGGCCAGGGCUCAACCCCCGGACUGCGUUGGAAACUGUAUGGCUGGAGUGAAGGAGAGGUAAGUGGAAUUCCUAGUGUAGCGGUGAAAUGCGUAGAUAUUAGGAGGAACACCAGUGGCGAAGGCGGCUUACUGGACUUUAACUGACGUUGAGGCUCGAAAGCGUGGGGAGCAAACAGGAUUAGAUACCCGGGUAGUC